AUUGAACGCUGGCGGCAUGCCUUACACAUGCAAGUCGGACGGUAACGGGCCUUCGGGUGCCGACGAGUGGCGAACGGGUGAGUAAUACAUCGGAACGUGCCCGAUCGUGGGGGAUAACGAGGCGAAAGCUUUGCUAAUACCGCACACGAUCUACGGAUGAAAGCAGGGGACCGCAAGGCCUUGCGCGGACGGAGCGGCCGAUGGCAGAUUAGGUAGUUGGUGGGAUAAAAGCUUACCAAGCCGACGAUCUGUAGCUGGUCUGAGAGGAUGAUCAGCCACACUGGGACUGAGACACGGCCCAGACUCCUACGGGAGGCAGCAGUGGGGAAUUUUGGACAAUGGGCGCAAGCCUGAUCCAGCCAUGCCGCGUGCAGGAUGAAGGCCUUCGGGUUGUAAACUGCUUUUGUACGGAACGAAAAGCCUUCUUUUAAUACAGGAGGGUCAUGACGGUACCGUAAGAAUAAGCACCGGCUAACUACGUG
rnacentral:rRNA from 1 species